GGCACGGGGUGCGGGACAGGAGGGGUUAGGGACGGGAGGGUGAGGUUAGGGACGGGAGGGGUGCGGGACGGGAGAGGUGCGGGACAGGCGCGGUGUGCUGCACGACAGGAGGCGCGGUGCGGGACAGGAGGGCAGGACAGAGGGGGCGGCCGUGGGGAAGCGGUGGGAGAGGAGGGGAGCAGGAGAUGAGGGUGGGGGGCGGGAGGUGGUGCGGGCAGAGGCUGGGGCCCGGUGCGGUGUGACAAGGUAGGACUAGGCGAGGGAGGAGGAGUGUGAAUCCAUCAGUUUUAGGUGCUGCUGGUGCCGAGCGGGCGGCUGGCCCAGCGCAGGGUGGCGGGGCUGUUGGCAGCAGUCGGGGACGCUGGGAGAGGGUGCGGUGCGGAGCAGCCGCCAGGGUCAGCUCUAGUCGAGCUGCUUCGGGCUUGGACUGAGCAGUGCUUCGGUGGGACGGCCUUACACGAACGGGUUCCUCUCCUCCUCUCUCUUACCGCUCUUGCUGCAAUGCCACAUCUCUCUCCUUCCUCCAACCACCUGGACCGCCCGCUGUGCAAGCUGCUGAUUCUCCAUGCUUCGCCUGUAAUGUUGGUAGACUUUGCUAGUAGGACACCGUUGUUUUGCAGUUUGUCACAAAAGCUUGGAUAGCUGUUACUAAUCGCGGCAUCUAGUCUUUUCUGUGGGCAUUUUAUCUGAAAUAAAACUUUAGAGUACGUGGUCUGGGGAUGCAGGUAGUACAAAUGAGUGACUUGAGAAUUGGUGUUCAUUGUGGCAGCUGCUGUAUCGGACCUUGUCUGAUGGGGAAAUCCAUACAUGCAACUAUUUCUGAAUAGUCUGUUUUAAGAUAAUUGCUCUAAAUUAGUGCCCCAUGUGACCACCGCCUUACGAGCUUCUUUACAUGAGUUUAUGAAGUGCCUCAUGAAUUCAGGAUGGUUGUAAACAGCAAUAGAAAUACAUUACUUCCUUCAACGAUAGAAGUGGAAGUUCUGGUUUAGUAUUUCAAAGUUGUCGCUACAGGAUGCUCAAGGCCAUUCCUGUCAAAGCCAGAGGCAGAGCUUUUAUGGAUUUCAGCAAGAAUGACGUCAGUACCAGGUUCCUUAGGCUAUUUGAAACUAUACAAAUAUUUGGAUGGAAAAUAUAGGCAAGAACUUGAAUAACAUUUUCAUUUGGAGUCAUGGCUGGGCAGAUGGUGUGCAGAAUUCUGUGAUAUACUUUAACGUGACAUUUAUGUAGGAAUAGAUGCUUUAUUUCUACAUUAAAACGUUUGAAGGCCACUGUGGUCUUGGAUUGAGAGUACAGUUCAGAGUGCUGACAGGGAAUUGAAGUUCCCCUCUCCCUGCUGCUAUUAUCUACACAAGAAGGCACAAAUGGAGCUUUCUCUACUGGAGAUACUUCUAUUUCAGUUCUCCCUUGAAAAAAAUGUUUAAAAAGCAGCCUCUCAACAUGAGCCUUUAAUGUUAUUUUCGAAGCCUGAGGUCUGAAACUGAAAAGAGGUUUGGUUUCCAGCGUAUUGCCACCAGGGCUGAAAUUACAUUGCCACAGCUGAGGAAGGUAAUUUUUAUUUAGUCAGUUCUCUCAUCAUCAGAGGUAGUGUACUGGGUUGGGACCCUUACUGGACUGUUAAGAGCUCUGUCAUUUAACUUUCCUUAUCCUGUCAUAAGAAGGGUGAGGGCAUGUCCGUUUGUACUUUGGGAUGUAGCACAGACACAGUGGCAACUCUCACAGGUUUUUGCAGUAUGUUUCAUUCAGUCUGCUGGGGUUUUUCUGCUGCUGUGAAGUUUCCAAACUCACAUAAAUUCAAAUGCAGUUUGAUUUGAAGUACUUCUUCAUUUGCCUUUUGUUCAUAAAGUUUAGCAUUAUUUUACGAUUAUGAGAUCUUUGCAAGAAGAUUCUGGUUCUUUUUAUUUCUUUUUUUUUUUAUCAGUUAGCUUUUAAAAACAUAGAAACCAUUAGGUAACGCAGAGAAAGAGUCGAAGCCCUCUCUAUGGCAAUCAUCUGUGUCAUUCUUCUGCCUUACUUGAUUCUGGGAAACCCUCUAAGGUUAAUAGGACACAUCCAAU
rnacentral:lncRNA from 1 species